rnacentral:lncRNA from 1 species
CCAGGACAUGAAAAUCACUCAAAAAUCAGUGCAUCUCUUAGGCAUGACUCUUGUGAGACUCCCAGAGGCCAUCUGCAUCCUUCCUCAUAUUCCAUCACAAAUCAACAUAAAACCACUCCUUACAGCCCUAAAACAGCCUCUAAAAGUCAUAUUCGGAACAGCCCCUAGGGCUGUCCUGCAUCACUUCAUUAAACAAACCCCAUUGCAUUUCUUCUAUUCACAAGAAAAGCUCACCAAUGACCUAAAGCACAAAUCAGAGAAUCAUUUUGAUAGCAAAACCUCAUGCUGAGUUAAGAAAGAAAAUCCACUCAGCUAUCUAGCUAUAUGCAUCAC